GAUGAACGCUGACAGAAUGCUUAACACAUGCAAGUCAACUUGAACUUCGGUUUGGGUGGCGGACGGGUGAGUAACGCGUAAAGAACUUGCCUCACAGUUAGGGACAACAUUUGGAAACGAAUGCUAAUACCUGAUAUUAUGAUUUUAGGGCAUCCUAGAAUUAUGAAAGCUAUAUGCGCUGUGAGAGAGCUUUGCGUCCCAUUAGCUAGUUGGAGAGGUAACGGCUCACCAAGGCGAUGAUGGGUAGCCGGCCUGAGAGGGUGAACGGCCACAAGGGGACUAAGACACGGCCCUUACUCCUACGGGAGGCAGCAGUGGGGAAUAUUGGACAAUGGACCAAGAGUCUGAUCCAGCAAUUCUGUGUGCACGAUGAAGUUUUUCGGAAUGUAAAGUGCUUUCAGUUGAGAAGAAAAAAAUGACAAUACCAACAGAAGAAGUGACGGCUAAAUACGUG
rnacentral:rRNA from 1 species